rnacentral:rRNA from 1 species
AACGAACGCUGGCGGCAUGCCUAACACAUGUAAGUCGAACGAGACCUUCGGGUCUAGUGGCGCACGGGUGCGUAACGCGUGGGAACCUGCCCUUAGGCUCGGAAUAACUCCUCGAAAGGGGUGCUAAUACCGGAUAAUGUCUUCGGACCAAAGAUUUAUCGCCUUUGGAUGGGCCCGCGUUGUAUUAGCUGGUCGGUAGGGUAAAAGCCUACCAAGGCGACGAUCCAUAGCUGGUCUGAGAGGAUGCUCCGCCACACUGGGGCUGGGACACGGCCCAGACUCCUGCGGGAGGCAGCCAUGGGGAAUAUUGGCCAAUGGGCGAAAGCCUGAUCCAGCAAUGCCGCGUGAGUGAUGAAGGCCUUAGGGUUGUAAAGCUCUUUUACCCGGGAUGAUAAUGACAGUACCGGGAGAAUAAGCUCCGGCUAACUCCGUG